rnacentral:misc_RNA from 1 species
AAAACUUCAUAUCAUCGAGUAAUGAAGCUUCUGAAUGAAGUAUGAACUGAAUAUCUAGUCGUAUUGGACUUGUUCAGGACUUGAGGCUGGGAGUUUCGACACCCAAAGUUCGUGCUGAUUUCGUUUUCAGCAAGGCUUAUGGUGCACCCAUCAUGGUGCUGGAAGAAUAUUUGGUUACAUAUUUGAGUCACAGGUUAUAUAAAUAAUCAGUAAGUGUCCGUUUAGCAUUGAAAUAUUCCUCUCAUUAUUUGCAUAACCAAAGAAUACUUGGUUACACAUUUAAUAUUUCUAUUAUCGGAUGU